rnacentral:rRNA from 1 species
AAAGGAAUAGACGGGGGCCCGCACAAGCGGAGGAACAUGUGGUUUAAUUCGAUGAUACGCGAGGAACCUUACCCGGGCUUGAAAUGGAGAGGAAUAUAGUGGAAACAUUAUAGCCAGCAAUGGUCUCUUUGUAGGUGCUGCAUGGUUGUCGUCAGCUCGUGCCGUGAGGUGUCGGCUUAAGUGCCAUAACGAGCGCAACCCUUGUUGUCAGUUACUAACAGGUUAUGCUGAGGACUCUGGCGAGACUGCCACCGUAAGGUGUGAGGAAGGUGGGGAUGACGUCAAAUCAGCACGGCCCUUACGUCCGGGGCGACACACGUGUUACAAUGGGAGGUACAGAGGGCUGCUACGCCGCGAGGCGAUGCUAAUCUCCAAAACCUCUCUCAGUUCGGAUCGGAGUCUGCAACUCGACUCCGUGAAGCUGGAUUCGCUAGUAAUCGCGCAUCAGCCAUGGCGCGGUGAAUACGUUCCCGGGCCUUGUACACACCGCCCGU